UCCAACCGCGUCAGAAAUUGCUAGACAUGCACUCCCACGUUGGGCGCCAACUCACGAGGGAACGAUCCUGAUAAUACUAGGGAUACGAUCGAAUGAGGGCGGUGCCUAGCUACGACACAGGUGUUCCAUUCAGAUUUAGCGAGGUCGGACCCCUCUGGAAGAGGUAAAGACCCUACGUCUCAUGUACGAAGGCUUUGUGUUUUCUUUAGGGAAUGACCUUGGGAUUGCUUAUAUAGAGUUCGCGAGGACCCAUCGUGCUCUGUUACAAGGGCAUUCGAUGAAAGUAACUUCGGAGUUACUAGACACUGCAACCUUAACUACAGGGGUUAAACCCUAGUCUUUACUAUACUUCAUGUAUGUGUGGUGUUAAAUUCCUCG
rnacentral:lncRNA from 1 species